rnacentral:rRNA from 1 species
ACGAACGCUGGCGGCGCGCUUAAUACAUGCAAGUCGAACGCAGGGCUUCGGCCCUGAGUGGCGCACGGGUGAGUAACGCGUGGGAACCUGCCCUAAGGUACGGAAUAACCUCGGGAAACUGAGGCUAAUACCGUAUGUGCCCCAAGGGGGAAAGAUUUAUCGCCUUAGGAUGGGCCCGCGUCGGAUUAGGUAGUUGGUGGGGUAAUGGCCUACCAAGCCCGCGAUCCGUAGCUGGUCUGAGAGGAUGAUCAGCCACACUGGGACUGAGACACGGCCCAGACUCCUACGGGAGGCAGCAGUAGGGAAUCUUGGACAAUGGGCGAAAGCCUGAUCCAGCGACGCCGCGUGGGUGAUGAAGGCCUUCGGGUUGUAAAGCCCUUUCGCCGGGGACGAUGAUGACGGUACCCGGAGAAGAAGCACCGGCUAACUCCGUGCCAGCAGCCGCGGUAA